GCCGGACGCGGUGGCGCGCGUCUGUAAUCCAAGUCACUGGGAGGUUUAGUCUGGCGGACCGUUUGAACUCAGGAGUUCUGAGCCGCAGUGCUCUAUGCCGAUCGGGUGUCCUCGCUAAGUUCGGUAUCGAUAUGGUGCUCCUGGGGGGAGCCCGGGACCACCAGGUCGUCUAAGGAGGGGUGAAACGGCCCAGGUCGGAGACGGAGCAGGUCAAAGCCCCCCGUGCCGCUCAGUAGUGGGAUCGCGCCUGUGAAUAGACGCUGUGGUGCAGCCUGAGUAAUACAGCGGGACCCAGUCUUUU
ensembl:misc_RNA Metazoa_SRP Metazoan signal recognition particle RNA